rnacentral:rRNA from 1 species
GAUGAACGCUGGCGGCGUGCCUAAUACAUGCAAGUCGAGCGAAUGGAUUAAGAGCUUGCUCUUAUGAAGUUAGCGGCGGACGGGUGAGUAACACGUGGGUAACCUGCCCAUAAGACUGGGAUAACUCCGGGAAACCGGGGCUAAUACCGGAUAACAUUUUGAACCGCAUGGUUCGAAAUUGAAAGGCGGCUUCGGCUGUCACUUAUGGACGGACCCGCGUCGCAUUAGCUAGUUGGUGAGGUAACGGCUCACCAAGGCAACGGUGCGUAGCCGACCUGAGAGGGUGAUCGGCCACACUGGGACUGAGACACGGCCCAGACUCCUACGGGAGGCAACAGUAGGGAAUCUUCCGCAAUGGACGAAAGUCUGACGGAGCAACGCCGCGUGAGUGAUGAAGGCUUUCGGGUCGUAAAACUCUGUUGUUAGGGAAGAACAAGUGCUAGUUGAAUAAGCUGGCACCUUGACGGUACCUAACCAGAAAGCCACGGCUAACUACGUGCCAGCAGCCGCGGUAA